AUGUCCGGAGCGGGAGACAAGUGGGUGGCCUCGUCCGUCAAGGAGGAGGACAUUACGAAGCUUCGGGCGGCCGGAUAUUUGGCUGCAGAUAUUGCGCACCGGCUCCCGGACGUAGGGCAGAUCAUUCCGACUCCAGGACCCCAUGAGAGGGUCGUGUUCCUCGCCCACUUUGUCCAUGGACUGGGAUUCCCCCUCCACCCGUUUGUCCGCGGGCUCUUGUUCUAUUACGGGCUGGAUUUUCAUGAUCUGGCUCCUAACUUCAUCCUCAACAUCUCGGCGUUUAUCGUCAUGUGUGAGGCUUUUCUCCGCAUCAGGCCCCACUUCGGCCUGUGGCUAAAGAUCUUCAACGUGAAGCCGGAAUAG
rnacentral:rRNA from 1 species